rnacentral:rRNA from 1 species
AACGUAGGGGGCCAGCGUUGCUCGGAAUUACUGGGCGUAAAGGGUCCGUAGGCGGUCUGUCGCGUCGGAUGUGAAAAUCCAGGGCUCAACCCUGGACCUGCAUUCGAUACGGGCAGACUAGAGUUCGGUAGGGGAGACUGGAAUUCCUGGUGUAGCGGUGAAAUGCGCAGAUAUCAGGAGGAACACCGGUGGCGAAGGCGGGUCUCUGGGCCGAAACUGACGCUGAGGAGCGAAAGCGUGGGGAGCAAACAGG